rnacentral:lncRNA from 1 species
CUUCAAUUAACAUUUCAGAAUACCUUCAUCCAUCAUAAACUGUACGCAAUAACUUAGUCUUCUGGAGUCUGAACUCAUACCGCAACAUGAAGUUUACUUCACUCUCAACUGGGAAACAUGAAAAGAUCCUUAACAUGCCCAUAACUCGGGGUUAUACCUCGAAUCAAGAUGGAAUUCCAGCACCUAAUAGUUCUUCUAUCCUCUAGCAGACCAUUCUCGUCACUUCCAAGUCAUAUAGAUACAUCUCGCAGUACUAACAUACUCAUCACAUAGUUAUCCAGCACUCACUUAAACUAAAAGGGACAAUACCGAACAUAUAAGUUCAAUACAGUUACUCACACAAUCAGCACCUCAGUGCUCAAUCCAUAGGCAAAGAUCCGGCCUCAAGUCCUCCAGACUGGCCCAAAAUCAACUCAUAGAGACUGCAUCUCUCCCCUCGAUCAGGGAAUCAUAAGCCAUCAAGGCACAUCUGAUACUGAGAGCUCGUCU